AAAAUUAUUGCUUGUCUUUGUUAUUAACUAUACAGUUUAAUGUUUAUUUAUAUUUAUAAUUAUUCUCUUUAGAAACAGUUUUUUAGGAUCUUUUUGCCUGAAUUUUUUUGAAUUUUUGUUUCUUUGUUUACUUAAUAAAUAUCUUUAUUAAUUUCUGUAGUUUAGAAAUACAAUAAACGAAUGUGAUCAGGUUUAGUUAGUCUCUGAAGCGUUUUGUAGUCAAAUCUGAACAUUGGAACGAGACACAGUGUAAUGACGUCACAACAGCUCUCAAAACGUUUCCUCGAUACAUUUUUUUGUCUAUUUUGAUUUUCUUUUUUUAUUAUCUCCUGAAUUGAAACUGUUUAAAAAAUAUUGGAAGCUUUAUGAAUCAUAUUGAGGUUCAGUUCAGCAAGUUUAUACGUUUCUUUUUAAAUAAAGUAUCUGCACGUGACCCGGAAGUAAACAGCACGAGGCGCUAGCAGCGUUAGCUUGUUAGCAGGCUAGCAGCGUUAGCUUGUGUUGAGAGGUCGGUGGUGUUUUGUUGGGGCGUUUGUGAGGUUUUUGGACAGAAAGGACGAUACGUGGUUCGUGUGGGAACUCUCAGCAUUUUCCAAAGUGUCGUAAAUGAGUGAAGAAGUGUUGAACGGAAAGACAACGUGGAUUGCUGUGAUUGUGAGACUAGCAGAUGAUCGAUCGGAGCUGCAGUGAAGAGGACGGCGGUGUUUGUGGGAGUUGGAGCUGAAGAUCGGAGCAGGAACCAUGUCUUCAGAACCUCAGGAAGGUUCUGUCAGAGAACAACUUUCUGCUGCUGAAGGAACCAUCGUCCAGAACGAGGAGCAGCUCUGUCGUCAGCGCAGACUGCUGGAUAGCAGCUGGAACCCGCAGCUUCAGCUACACAUAGUUGUCCUCCCCCAGCAUUGGAUGACCGAAGAGGAGGAUCUCUGCAACCAGCAGAGGAACUUCAAAGUGGAACAGGAGGAACCAGAAUCUCCACAAAUUAAAGAGGAACUGGAGGAACCAGAACCUUUACAGAUGAAAGAGGAACUGGAGGAACCAGAACCUCCACAGAUGAAAGAGGAACAGGAGGAACCAGAAUCUCCACAANNNNNNNNNNAUUAAAGAGGAACUGGAGGAACCAGAACCUUUACAGAUUAAAGAGGAACUGGAGGAACCAGAACCUUUACAGAUUAAAGAGGAACUGGAGGAACCAGAACCUCCACAGAUUAAAGUGGAACAGAGUCAACCAGAACCUCCACAGAUUAUAGAGGAACUGGAGGAACCAGAACCUCCACAGAUUAAAGAAGAACUGCAGAGCUUCAAUGUAACUGAUAGUCAGGAUGAAGAAGGAAACCAACAUGAAGAAUCCACAUCAACUACAGAUGAAGAGACAGAAUCAACAUCAACUACAGAUGAAGAGACAGACCCACAGAACAGAGAUCAGAGGAAGAGAAGAGGUAGAAGUCAUGUCC
rnacentral:lncRNA from 1 species